rnacentral:sRNA from 1 species
GGUUGACUAAGGAGGAAGACAUGGGAUUGACGCGAUCCAUCAACGUCCUAGUGGUCAGUGCAGCGUUCGUCUUCGUGCUCACGAUGCUUUUCAUCUGACGCAUGACGAACACCAUAACCGACUGAACUCCUGAGAGCUAACAAAACGGCCUAUUCAUUUAAAAAGCGCAUGUCGAAGACCGACAUGCGCUUU